GGGUAGAAGGAGCUUGCUCCUUUGAGACCGGCGCACGGGUGCGUAACGCGUAUGCAAUCUACCUUUCACAGAGGGAUAGCCCAGAGAAAUUUGGAUUAAUACCUCAUAGUAUAGCAGUUUCGCAUGAAACCACUAUUAAAGUCACAACGGUGAAAGAUGAGCAUGCGUCCCAUUAGCUAGUUGGUAAGGUAACGGCUUACCAAGGCAACGAUGGGUAGGGGUCCUGAGAGGGAGAUCCCCCACACUGGUACUGAGACACGGACCAGACUCCUACGGGAGGCAGCAGUGAGGAAUAUUGGACAAUGGGCGCAAGCCUGAUCCAGCCAUGCCGCGUGCAGGAUGACGGUCCUAUGGAUUGUAAACUGCUUUUGUACAGGAAGAAACACCUCUACGUGUAGAGACUUGACGGUACUGUAAGAAUAAGGAUCGGCUAACUCCGUGCCAGCAGCCGCGGUAAUACGGAGGAUCCAAGCGUUAUCCGGAAUCAUUGGGUUUAAAGGGUCCGUAGGCGGUUUAGUAAGUCAGUGGUGAAAGCCCAUCGCUCAACGGUGGAACGGCCAUUGAUACUGCUAGACUUGAAUUAUUAGGAAGUAACUAGAAUAUGUAGUGUAGCGGUGAAAUGCUUAGAGAUUACAUGGAAUACCAAUUGCGAAGGCAGGUUACUACUAAUUGAUUGACGCUGAUGGACGAAAGCGUGGGUAGCGAACAGGAUUAGAUACCCUGGUAGUCCACGCCGUANACGAUGGAUACUAGCUGUUGGGCGCAAGUUCAGUGGCUNAGCGAAAGUGAUAAGUAUCCCACCUGGGGAGUACGUUCGCAAGAAUGAAACUCAAAGGAAUUGACGGGGG
rnacentral:rRNA from 1 species